rnacentral:rRNA from 1 species
GAUGAACGCUGGCGGCGUGCCUAAUACAUGCAAGUCGAGCGAACAGACGAGGAGCUUGCUCCUCUGACGUUAGCGGCGGACGGGUGAGUAACACGUGGAUAACCUACCUAUAAGACUGGGAUAACUUCGGGAAACCGGAGCUAAUACCGGAUAAUAUAUUGAACCGCAUGGUUCAAUAGUGAAAGACGGUUUUGCUGUCACUUAUAGAUGGAUCCGCGCCGCAUUAGCUAGUUGGUAAGGUAACGGCUUACCAAGGCAACGAUGCGUAGCCGACCUGAGAGGGGGAGCGCCAACACGGAACAGGAAACGGGGCCAAAACCCCAAGGGGGGGAAGAGGAGGGAAAUCUCCGAAAAGGGGCAAAGGCCGAAGGGACAAACGCGGGGGGGGUGAGAAGGUUUGGGGAACGUAAAACCUUUUUAAUGGGGGAAAAAAAAUGGUUAAAGAAACUAGCACGGUUGGACGGGUACUAAACAAAAAACCACGGGCAAACAACG